UACAGAGGUCUCAAGCGUUGUUCGGAUUCAUUGGGCGUAAAGGGCGCGUAGGCGGCGGGGUAAGUCGGGUGUGAAAUCUCAGAGCUCAACUCUGAAAUGGCACUUGAUACUGCUCUGCUAGAGGACUGGAGAGGAGAUUGGAAUUCACGGUGUAGCAGUGAAAUGCGUAGAUAUCGUGAGGAAGACCGGUGGCGAAGGCGGCUCACUGGUCCGGUACUGACGCUGAUGUGCGAAAGCGUGGGGAGCAAACAGG
rnacentral:rRNA from 1 species